rnacentral:lncRNA from 1 species
GAAAUGUGACCAUGUUACUAUGGCAAUUUGAGAGAAAGUAACAUUCUAACUGAAGUUGUGGGGAUCAUAAACCAAAUCUACCUAAGAGGUUCAUGCCAUUCAUGCAGCCAAAUCACAUCUCGGGAGGAGAGCCGCAGCUGAAGCCCCCAGGGCACACUCUCAGCAACCCUUACGUAAGCUAGCAACCAAGAAGGGAGAGAUCUUUGGAUGAUGAGUUAAGUCACUGAAAUUAUCCACAGAAUGCUCAGAUGCAAACCAUGGUCCUAAGGCUCCCUGAAUGCCAUCUCCAUGUGCCUAAAGACCUUGCGAUUUUAUUCAUUGCUGUAUCUCCAGCUCCCAGAACUAUGUCUGGAACAGAACAGGUCUCCUAAUAAGUUAAAGGACGCAUUGCACGUAAUCAAAGAAGAGGACAUACAGCAUUUUCAAGGUUGAGAAAUCUCUACUGUCUGCAGGAGAGCAGAAUGCCUGGGCCUCUAUCCAUUAACACCAUUCCCACAGGAAUUACCCCAUGAAGACCCUGGGGCUAAGGCACUAUCAGGAGCUCCAGGCCAAUCAUCUGGCAGUAGUCUGUAUUGUGCAUGGCAAAGGUCUUUUAAAAAUAGACAGUGUUGAUUUAUUUUCUAUGUAUUAACUUACUUUGACGUGGAUCCUGGAGUUGGAGCUCAUGUCACGGUUUUUUCCCCCACUGAUGCAGAAGCCAGAGGCACUUAGGAAAAGUACCACUGAAAUGGCACAAAUAAGGCCCCCAUAAAAACUUGAUUCUCUGUUUUAUUUGACAACCGAAUCUUUUCCAGGUACAACGUUAUGACAGAAAUCUUUUCAAACCAGAUAUACACCCAAUGCCUGACAUUUUCAAUGCAGAAGUGAAUAUACAGUAGGUUCCUCCUCCCCUCGAGCCCCCAAAUCCCAGGUACAUUCCUCAAAUCUAAAUCACCUACACGAUGUUGGGGUUUUUAAUCCUCCAACUUAUACCAAGGUAUGAAGUUUAUUAAUGCUUUUUAGUGUCACAGGGCCCAUUGGAAGAAACUGCAGAGUCAUAUUUCCUUUUCUAAUGCACUUCUUUUCUCCACUCAUAAUGUGUAAGACUCUUACACCUAUUUUAUAGACUUUAUUGAUAUGCCUUUGUUCUAGUCUACCUUAAACCUUUCGGGAGGAAGAAGCAGAGUGCAAUAUUUGAAUAAAUAUAAAAUCAUAAUGCAUGUUUUACAUUAAAAUAUAGGACAAAAGUAAAGUAUAGUUUGUUUUGUAAGCCCUUUUUUUCCGAGUUAGUUUUCAGGUAUAUAGCUCUUUUGUUAAGCAUGAUACGAAGUUUGUCUGCUUUACAAAAUGAGGAGUUAGAAAAAGUGAAUCCUUCCUUUUAAAAAAAAAAACAAACAAACAAACAAACAAAAAAAAGCCAAAUGCCUCAUGAAAGCUGGCUUGCCAGCGUUUGCUCUGUCAUUAACCCCUGUGAGAAUCACGCAGUUCCCACUCUCAUUAAGUCAUAUAGGUCACCAUGGAUACAACUGCCUCUACUCAGCCCACAGUACGGGAGCAACAGCUGUUGAACCACACUUGGGACUUUUGCCAUUCACUGUUCUGUAUAAAUUGUACUGGUGAAACAUUUCAGAUAAUGUUACAAUUGUUUUUGAAAUUUUAAGUAUGUUGUAGGAAACAUCUGAAAUAUUAGACAACAGUAAAGGACUGAAAUUUAAUUUAACUUGUGAAAUAGAAUAACAACCUCGAGAUUGUUCACCAGACAGGGGCUGAAUCCUGAGUGAAAGUGGCAUGGAGCAGAACUGAAGCCAAUCUAUAAU